rnacentral:rRNA from 1 species
CAGUCGCCGCGGUAAUACGAAGGGGGCUAGCGUUGUUCGGAAUCACUGGGCGUAAAGCGCACGUAGGCGGACACUUAAGUCAGAGGUGAAAUCCCAAGGCUCAACCUUGGAACUGCCUUUGAUACUGGGUGUCUUGAGUUCGGGAGAGGUGAGUGGAACUGCGAGUGUAGAGGUGAAAUUCGUAGAUAUUCGCAAGAACACCAGUGGCGAAGGCGGCUCACUGGCCCGAUACUGACGCUGAGGUGCGAAAGCGUGGGGAGCAAACAGGAUUAGAUACCCCUGUAGUCCCUGUCUCUUAUAC